GGGCUCAUGGCCUAAUGGUAAGGCGUCAGAUUUCGGUUCCGUUUACGGUAUACCAACUCUCUGAAGAUUGCAGGUUCGAUCCCUGCUGAGCUCG